UACGAAGGGUGCUAGCGUUGUUCGGAAUCACUGGGCGUAAAGCGUGCGUAGGCGGCUUAGUAAGUCGAUUGUGAAAUCCCGGAGCUUAACUCUGGAAUUGCAAUCGAAACUGCUUAGCUAGAGUAAGAUAGAGGACAGUGGAAUUCCUAGUGUAGGGGUGAAAUUCGUAGAUAUCGGGAGGAACACCGGUGGCGAAGGCGGCGACCUGGGGUUGACAUUGACGCUGAGGCGCGAAAGCGUGGGGAGCAAACAGG
rnacentral:rRNA from 1 species